CUCGAUCCAAUGUCUGAAUCUCAAGUUAUGAUUAUUUUACCAACAGCUGCUUCUUGCUUGAGGCAGUCACUAUUUUUGACUUUUCAACAUUAUUUUCCUCCACUUGUUCUAAUUUGGAAAUACAAGUGAAAUACAUCAAAUAGAUACUCUUUCAAAUGUAUAAUACUCAUGCCACCAUGUAUGUAAAUACGUAUUUCAAUUAAUUGCAUUUUUAACCAUGUAUUUAUGGAAAUUGAAU
rnacentral:lncRNA from 1 species